rnacentral:rRNA from 1 species
CCUUGUACACACCGCCCGUCACGCCAUGGAAGUCUACUGUACCGGAAGCCGGCGCACCAACCCGUAAGGGAGGUAGUCGCCCAUGGUAUGGUCGGUGACUGGGGCG